UCCUCUGUAGUUCAGUCGGUAGAACGGCGGACUGUUAAUCCGUAUGUCACUGGUUCGAGUCCAGUCAGA
rnacentral:tRNA from 1 species